CAGCAGCCGCGGUAAUACGAAGGGUGCAAGCGUUACUCGGAAUUACUGGGCGUAAAGCGUGCGUAGAUGGUGGUUUAAGUCCGUUGUGAAAGCCCUGGGCUCAACCUGGGAAUUGCAGUGGAUACUGGGUCACUAGAGUGUGGUAGAGGAUAGUGGAAUUUCCGGUGUAGCAGUGAAAUGCGUAGAGAUCGGAAGGAACAUCUGUGGCGAAGGCGACUAUCUGGGCCAACACUGACACUGAUGCACGAAAGCGUGGGGAGCAAACAGGAUUAGAUACCCCCGUAGUCCCUGUCUCUUAUAC
rnacentral:rRNA from 1 species